ACUUGGCCUUAGUAAAGCCAAAGCUGCUUCUGGAUAGCUGCUGUGGUAAGAAAAAGAACAAGAGGCUGGGGGUAAAGCAUUUCUUUGACAGUUCUGAUUCCUUUUGCUGUGACUGAUCUACAUUUUUGGAAAGACAGUG